AACCUAUGGACGGGAAUAACCUCGGGAAACUGAGUAUAAUGCCCGAUAGAACACUAUACCUGGAAUGGUUUGUGUUCCAAAUGAUUUAUCGCCGUAGGAUGGGACUGCGGCCUAUCAGUUUGUUGGUGAGGUAAUGGCCCACCAAGACUAUUACAGGUACGGGCUCUGAGAGGAGUAGCCCGGAGAUGGGUACUGAGACACGGACCCAGGCCCUAUGGGGCGCAGCAGGCGAGAAAACUUUGCAAUGUGCGAAAGCACGACAAGGUUAAUCCGAGUGGUUUCUGCUAAAGAAACCUUUUGUCGGUCCUAGAAACACCGAUGAAUAAGGGGUGGGCAAGUUCUGGUGUCAGCCGCCGCGGUAAAACCAGCACCUCAAGUGGUCAGGAUGAUUAUUGGGCCUAAAGCAUCCGUAGCCGGCUCUGUAAGUUUUCGGUUAAAUCUGUACGCUCAACGUACAGGCUGCCGGGAAUACUGCAGAGCUAGGGAGUGGGAGAGGUAGACGGUACUCGGUAGGAAGGGGUAAAAUCCUUUGAUCUAUUGAUGACUACCUGUGGCGAAGGCGGUCUACCAGAACACGUCCGACGGUGAGGGAUGAAAGCUGGGGGAGCAAACCGGAUUAGAUACCCGGGUAGUCCCAGCUGUAAACUAUGCAAACUCAGUGAUGCAUUGGCUUGUGGCCAAUGCAGUGCUGCAGGGAAGCCGUUAAGUUUGCCGCCUGGGAAGUACGUACGCAAGUAUGAAACUUAAAGGAAUUGGCGGGGGAGCACCACAAGGGGUGAAGCCUGCGGUUCAAUUGGAUUCAACGCCGGG
rnacentral:rRNA from 1 species